rnacentral:rRNA from 1 species
UACGAAGGGUGCAAACGUUGCUCGGAAUCAUUGGGCGUAAAGCGCACGUAGGCGGCCUCAUAAGUCGGAUGUGAAAUCCCUCGGCUCAACCGAGGAAGUGCAUCCGAAACUGCGAGGCUCGAGUAUGGAAGAGGGUCGCAGAAUUCCCGGUGUAGAGGUGAAAUUCGUAGAUAUCGGGAGGAAUACCAGUGGCGAAGGCGGCGACCUGGGCCAAUACUGACGCUGAGGGGCGAAAGCCAGGGGAGCAAACGGG